rnacentral:rRNA from 1 species
CCUACGGGAGGCAGCAGUAAGGAAUAUUGGUCAAUGGACGCAGGUCUGAACCAGCCAUGCCCGCGUGAAGGAUGAAGGUCCUCUGGAUUGUAAACUUCUUUUAUAUGGGAAGAAAUCGUUCUUAUCUAAGGACGUUGACGGUACCAUAGGAAUAAGCACCGGCUAACUCCGUGCCAGCAGCCGCGGUAAUACGGAGGGUGCAAGCGUUAUCCGGAUUCACUGGGUUUAAAGGGUGCGUAGGCGGAUUAGUAAGUCCGUGGUGAAAUCUCCAAGCUUAACUUGGAAACUGCCGUGGAUACUAUUAAUCUUGAAUGUUGUGGAGGUUAGCGGAAUAUGUCAUGUAGCGGUGAAAUGCAUAGAUAUGACAUAGAACACCAAUUGCGAAGGCAGCUGGCUACACAAAUAUUGACGCUGAGGCACGAAAGCGUGGGGAUCAAACAGGAUUAGAUACCCUGGUAGUCCACGCCCUAAACGAUGAUUACUCGACAUUUGCGAUAUACAGUAAGUGUCUGAGCGAAAGCAUUAAGUAAUCCACCUGGGAAGUACGACCGCAAGGUUGAAACUCAAAGGAAUUGACGG